UUGUUCCUGGGCGGGAUUAUUUAUUUUUAUUCCUAACAAGUGCUCGGUUUGGAACUGGGGAAUGAUUGCCAUGAGAAAUUUACUUCCUCCUGAAUUCCUGAGGGAUAGAAGCAAAGUGCAGCAGUUGGUUCAACUAUUUGAUCCAGUUGUUCGAGCCGUUGAUGGCACAGCUGGAGAGGCAGUCUCAAUGCGAGUGGAUUUAGAAUGCUCAGAUGGAU